rnacentral:rRNA from 1 species
UACGUAGGGACCGAGCGUUGUCCGGAAUCAUUGGGCGUAAAGGGCUCGUAGGCGGCCAACUAAGUCAGACGUGAAAUCCCUCGGCUUAACCGGGGAACUGCGUCUGAUACUGGAUGGCUCGAGUUUGGGAGAGGGAUGCGGAAUUCCAGGUGUAGCGGUGAAAUGCGUAGAUAUCUGGAGGAACACCGGUGGCGAAGGCGGUGGUCUGGGCCGGAACUGACGCUGAGGAGCGAAAGCGUGGGGAGCGAACAGG